rnacentral:lncRNA from 1 species
CACAAUACUUUUUUGACUUAUUACUAGGAAGAAACAAUUUUCUUUAGAUUAGCUUUCAAGCUUACUUUGGUUGGUUACAACGUUUCUCACAACUGUUUUCAUCAUUUCAGAUGUGAGCGUGCCCCAUGGAAUCACUACCUGCUGCAGCAAAUAAGCUACUGCCCUAAUUUGUUCUGAUUGGAUCAGUGACAGAUCUGUGCCUAAUUUGUUGAAAAGCCUCAUACUUUUACCAUUGCAGUUUUAAUGGAGAUACCAAGUACCUAGUGGAAAGUAGGAGCCUAACAAUUGAGAGAAUUCAAUCUGGGGAGGAUUUUUGAAGAGCUGGGACCAGGUUCUCAUCUACAAUGAAACUGUGCAUUGGGCACUUGAAAGUAAAGUCUGUGAGAAAGUUAUUAUUUAGUCAAGCCAGCAUUAUUUGUGCACAAACCUGCAUUAUUUGUGAAGUUCCUCUUAAGAUCACAGAGCAGCUGCAAACAACACAAACAUGAGAUUCAUUCUGUGAGAAGAAUGUAGCAUAAAGAUAAGUACAAUUUUUUUUUUAUUUGUCUUUUUUUGCAACUUUGGUGGGGCUAUCUUAUUCAAACCCUCCUUAUCUGUGAGCUUUACUCACACCAGCUGCCUGUUUUUUGCUUUUGAGGAGGUGUUGCAAUGACAGAAUCUGAAGUUUAUUCCUUAGCUUAGAUAUAUAUGGAUACAGUUUUGUGUGUACUUCUUUGAAAAAUGAAACUUAAUUUAAGUAACCCAUAUCUUCAGUUGUGAGGUUUUGCAUUUCUCCUGAACAGUUUUAUUGUCAGAAACAAUAUCUACGUGAGUAAUGUAACUAAGCAGACUUUUUUUUUUCUUCCAUUGGGAAAAUUGUACUGUGUUAACAUGAUGUGUCACUGAUUUCUCCUAGGGAUAUAACCCCACUCCAACAAUGCAUUGUCUAGGCUUAGACUUUCAAAUAUUACUGGUUUUCGGAAUUUAAAUGGAAUAGAUACUUCUACCUAGGAGCCGUCACUGCUCUAUGAAAUAUUUUUAUAUGUUCAUAGAGUGGAUUAGGUCCAUGCUACAGACUGAGGUAAGUGGGAGGGCAGAGUAGACAUCACUGAACCUUCUGCUUUUACAUUAGCUGCUAGAUAAAAAGGCAACAAAGCCAGAAAUAUGAAGCUAAUGAAGUGAGUUACUAACUUUUUGCUGAACUCAGAGCUGUUGAAACUCACUGCAAGACUGGUAGC